GAAAUGCGAUAAGUAGUGUGAAUUGCAGAAUUCAGUGAAUCAUCGAAUCUUUGAACGCACAUUGCGCCCCUUGGUAUUCCAUGGGGCAUGCCUGUUCGAGCGUCAUUUGUACCCUCAAGCUCUGCUUGGUGUUGGGUGUUUGUCCCGUCUCCGCGCGUGGACUCGCCCCAAAGUGAUUGGCAGCCGGCGUACUGGUCCCGGAGCGCAGCACAUGUCGCGCAAACGAGUGCCUUGGUACGGCGGCGUCCAUAAGCCCCUCUCUCACGCUCUUGACCUCGGAUCAGGUAGGGAUACCUGCUGAACUUAAGC
rnacentral:misc_RNA from 1 species